GAUGAAGAACGCAGCGAAACGCGAUAUGUAAUGUGAAUUGCAGAAUUCAGUGAAUCAUCGAGUCUUUGAACGCACAUGGCGCCUUCCAGUAUCCUGGGAGGCAUGCCUGUCCGAGCGUCGUUUCAACCCUCGAGCCCCCGUGGCCCGGCGUUGGGGAUCUGCCCAGGCAGUCCCCGAAAACCAGUGGCGGACCCGUUACAGGCCCUUCCCUUGCGUAGUAGCAUUCGCCUCGCAUCGGGAGCCGGUGGGCUUCCAGCCUCUAAACCCCCAUCAAGUCCGCCCCGGCGGCACCAAGGUUGACCUCGGAUCAGGUAGGAAUACCCGCUGAACUUAAGCAUAUCAAUAAGCGGAGGA
rnacentral:misc_RNA from 1 species